GACCCCAGGUCAGGUAGGGUCACCUGCUGAGUUUAAGCAUAUCAAUAASG
rnacentral:rRNA from 1 species